rnacentral:lncRNA from 1 species
AUUUAUUUGUUUAUUGAUUGAUUGAGUGAUUUAUGUAUGUAUUAACAUAAGCAUGCUUUAUUUUUAAUUAUUUAUAAAUAAACAUAAAGAAAUACAAAAAAAUAAAUAAAUAUAUAUAUAUAAUAAUUCAGACUUAGGUUUAUUUGCAAAAAAAAACAAAAAACAUGUCAGAUUAUUGUCCUAAAUACAGAUGAUGCUUGGUAUUUAUUGUCUUAAUGUUUGUUCUUAAGUCACAGAAAGAGACCCCACCAGCACCAUCUACUAAUGUGAGCCAUUUAAUUUGCAUUACAUAUUUUAUUGCUUUUAUAAUAUUUCUACCUUUUGCAUCAUUUCAUUUCAUUCAUAAGCAAAAAGUUGGUUUUGAGGUGUGAUUAGUUGACAAUAAAGCAUUAUAGAAUAAUAAUUAAAAAAAGUAUACUCGCCUGCUGUUUUGUGAUUGAAAUGAAACAAACUGCACUCUUUUCUGAGGUACAGGAAGCACCCAAGGCACCCCCUCCUCCUCCCCCAGCGCCACCUAAGAUGGAAAGCAAAGCAGAGCCGGCGGUGAAGAAAGAGGACACGUCUGCAACAAAAGCAGCCGCGGCAGCUGCAACAAAAGCAGAGGGAUCUGCCAAGAGCAAAACUAAAGACAGUGCAUUAGGCAAACUCUUCCGUUCAAAGCCUGUUGUGGUGGAAGAGAAAAAGCCGGUUGAGGUGCAGGUAAAUACAUUCAGCUGA